rnacentral:tRNA from 1 species
GGUCCGAUGGUGUAGUUGGUUAUCACACUCGCUUCACACGCGAGAGGUCAUGAGUUCGAGCCUCGUUCGGAUCA